rnacentral:misc_RNA from 1 species
UUUUGGACUAACUCUUCAUGGCGGGCUCCCUGCGCUUUGGUGCGGCCAACCUUCAUGGGGGUAGUCUUUUCAUUCUCCCUCCCGUAAAUACAUCUUUGCUGGGUUGGGAUGUUGUUGUUGGUUGCCUGCGUUGUUCUACCCAUGUUGGUAGUGAUAGUGGACCUUAACUUGUAUUAUGGCUCUCAUGCUGAUAGUGUUCUGUCGGCAGGGCAGCUGAGGUAUCGACAAAAAUUCAUUUGUUGCAAUGGUUGAUUAUAACAGCCAAGGCAUUGCAUUGGAAUGUUUGUCGGGUCUCAUGGAUGUUGUGCCUACUUUGUGAGCUCUGUUGGUUCCUUGAUCCUCAGGCUUGGUGAUGGCCCCAGGUAUGUAUUUUAUCAUUUGCUCAUUUACUCAAUUUAAGUGUUCUGCUUGUAUUGAUGUGUGUGGGGAAUGUUCAUGUGCAUGUCAAAUGGCUAUCCUAUUUGAAUGACCUCCGAUUGCUGAUUCAUGUUGUUAGAUGUGCCUUCUUCCUUUGGUUGGUGCUUUCUACAGUGUGCGUUGGCUUUCGCUUAGGAUGUGU